rnacentral:rRNA from 1 species
UUUAGAUUUAUAGUAUUUGUUUAUAGAAUUUAUUAAAAAAGCUAUAUAAUAAAAUGUAUUUAUUUAAGAAAUUAAAUUUAUUUUUUACUGUGAAGGACUAGUGAAAAUUUUGAAAAAUUAAAAAUUUGAAAAGUAUUUAUUUAUAAAAGUACCUUUUGCAUCAGGGUUUUUUAAAGAAAUUAAAUUAUUUUAAUUUCCCGAAAUUAAAAUGAUUUAUCAAAAUAAAGUUUUUAUGUGGAAAUAUAAUUAUUAAUGUUUUGAUAGAAAUGAAAUUUUAUACAUAUUUAAGGAUAUCUGGUUAUAAUAAUAGAGAUUAUACAUCUAUCUAUUUAUGUUUUAUAUUUUAAUAUAAAAAUAGGAACGGUCUGUUGGGAUAAGCUUAUGGAUUAUCUUUUAAUAAUAUAGAAUAUAAUGAAUAAUAAGGAAUAAAAUUUUCUUAAUCUUUUAAUAAAGAAUUUAUUUUAAAAAAAAAUUAUUGAAUUUAAGGUUAUUUUAUGAUUUUAAUAAUUUUAUUAAAUUAAAACAAUAAAAUAAUUAGUAAAAUUAAAUUUUAAAGUGAUUUUAUUUAAGAUUUUAUUUAAUUUUUUAGUAAAAUUAAACUAAAGGAAUUAGGCAAAAGUUUAGGGUUGACUGUUUAACAAAAACAUUUCAUUUUGAUCUAAUAAAAUGUAAAACCUGCUCAAUGAUUAUUAAAUUGCUGUGGUAUUUUGACUAUGCGAAGGUAUUGAAAUAAGGCUUUAAAUGAGUGCUAAGAGAAUGGUUUAACGAUUCUAAGCUUUCUUUAGUUAAUAAAUUGAAUUUAAUUUUUUUGUGAAGAAGCAAAAAUGUAAAUUAGGGACAAGAAGACCCUAUGAAUUUUGAAUUAAAUUUCAUAAUUUUAAUAAUAAUUAUGUUAUUUAAAUUAAUUGGGGUGAUUUGGAAAGAAUAUAUAUCUUUUUAGGUAGUUAAUUUGUUCCGUUUUUAGCGAUUUUGUGUGAAAAAUACUCUAGGGAUAACAGCGUAAUAAUUUUGGAUAGUUCAUAUAGAUAAAAUAGUUUGCGACCUCGAUGUUGGAUUAGGAUUCUUUUUUAAUGAAGAAAUUAAAGAGAAGAAGUUUGUUCAACUUUUAAUUUCCUACAUGAUCUGAGUUCAGACCGGCGUGAGCCAGGUUGGUUUCUAUCUUAAUUUUAAGUAAUUAUUUUUUUAGUACGAAAGGAAUAUAAAAUAUUAAUUUAAUUGAUUUAAUUUAAAAAAUUUUUAA